UGCCCUGGGGGGUCUGAAGAGACACAGCCCUACCUUAAGGGGAGGUCUCUGCUCUGCCUUCGUGGAUGUCCGUGGGGGCCGCGGACAUGCCCUGAUAAAACCCUUGGGAGUCCUACACAGACGAUCCCUCACCCUUCCCCGUCUCCUGUGGCUGGGCUCCAGGAACGCUAGCCUCCCUGCUCCCCAGAAGACCUGGUUCAGGGUCGCCGCAGGGCCUUUGCAUGGUCUGUCCCCACCUCGCCUCCCCUGCUCUUCUCCAGCUCUCUUUUCCUUCAGGGCUCUGCUCAGACCUGCUGUUCCUGCCUGGCCACGGCAUCACUCCAGCUCCUGGCCUGCCUUGUUUUUAUUGACCACGAUCCGACAUUAUGCUGAACAUGAUGUGCUCCUUUGUUUCUUUUCUGGCUGCUGGGUUCACUGCUAUCUCCCCAGUGCCAGGGACAGUGGCUGGCACACAGUGGGCCCUCAGUGAAUAUGCUGGAAUGGCCAUGUGACUCCCCCAUGUGUCCCACCGCUGAAGUCAGUCAACAAUGCUUCGACAGUCGGUGAAACACUAUAUGAAAUUCUAGGCAGUCAAGACCCAGCUACAAAAGUGCUAGAAGAAAAUACUGGAUGAUUCCUGAAGAUCUCAGAAAGGCCUUCUUCACAGAGGGACUUCCCUAAGCAAGGAAGAAAAUCCAGAUGCCCAGAAGACCGAAAAAUGUGACUUAAUCUGCUUGGGAAAAACAAACAAACAAACAAACAAACAAACAACCAUAUACGAAGUAAAAAAAAAUGGGGAAAAACAGAUGUAAUAGAUAUAGUGAAGGCUAGUUUUCUUAAUAUUUAUAAAGACCACUAUGCAUUACAGUGACAGCUCUUACUUGUUCAAGGCUCUACUUUGUUAAGCAAAGUUAUUAAGAAUACCGAUGGUAAAUGAAUACACGAAUGAAAAAGAUCUGUGACUAAGUAAAAUAGUAACACCCCGGUAGAAAAAUUGGCAAAAGACACGAACCGAGAGUCUCCAGGAAAAACCAACAUAACUAACUUUUUAAUAUAGGAGACUGCAUAUAAUCUCAAUAAAAUAAUCGUGAGUGCAA